UACGUAGGGGGCUAGCGUUGUCCGGAUUUAUUGGGCGUAAAGAGCGUGUAGGCGGCCAGGUAGGUCUGGUGUGAAAACUCGAGGCUUAACCUCGAGAUGUCAUCGGAAACCAUCUGGCUAGAGUCCGAAGAGGAGAGUGGAAUUCCUGGUGUAGCGGUGAAAAUGCGUAGAUAUCAGGGAGGAACACCUGUGGCGAAAAGCGGCUCACUGGACCACAAACUACGCUGAGGGCGCGAAAAAGCUAGGGGGGGAAGCAAAAACAGGGAUUUAGA
rnacentral:rRNA from 1 species